UGGGUCCCCACUGAAUUCAUUUUUUCAAAUUAAGGAGGAUGUAAAAAUAUUAUACAAAUAUAACAAACAUGCAAUAUACACAAGUAAUAAAGUAAACAAGUAAUAUGAGAAACAACCUAAUAUUUGUCUAUCGUCAACAAUAUAUAUCAUAAUGAAUAUAACAUUCGAACUUUAUUCAAAUGACUUCGAUGAGAAGCGACUUCGGGGUACCUGUAAAGACACUUAGUAAAAGUGUUAGUACUAAAUAAAUAUGACUAAAAGUAAAUGAAUUAAACAAUAACUUAAAAAUAAACAUCCGUCUUAUUAACAUGAGAGGCCUUAGAAAUCGACGGUAAUUUCUUCAUCGGCCAUUUUAACUUACAAAAAAUAUAAACUUAAACUAAAUUUCCAUCUUUUAUAAUAUGGAAGCCUCCAAAACCAACGGAGAGAUUUUUUCAUUGGCCAAUUCGACUUAUAACCACAAAAUUAAUAUAAAACUCACAAAGAUAAUAUUAAAGUAAUAUGUAAUAACUUGCAAAACGGUGACCAAAUAAUAAAAUUUUAACAAAACCAUAAUAACAAUCAAGUAAUAUCAACUUAACAAAAUAGUCACAAUAACCAAAUAAAUGAUCCCGUGGCAACUAUAUUCAUAUGUGAAAAAUACCUAAUAUAAACUUGUAAAAUUAAAACAACUUAAUUAUAUCACAUGAAAUUUUCAAAUAAAUAUAAACAUAGAAAGCAACUAAAAUAUAAAGCUAAACGGAAGUAACCAAAAUUUACUACCCAUUAAUGAAACCUUAUAAGUUGUACACAAUAUAUUUAACAAAAUAAAAUAAAAUAAAAAUCACAUGCCUAACAAUAUAAAGCUGAAAAUAAAAACACAAACACCAAACAAUAUUAUAUACUAACUAUUUGACAGUCAAAACGUUGAUAACAAAAAAAAAACAAAAAAAAAAAAUUAAGACUUUGGGCAGAAACAAAUAAAAGCAAAUUCAAGGCAAAAUAGCCCAAACAACAUUAGAGAAUAUGAAGAUAUGAAACACCAACAGAUAGUUCGGCAGCAACAUUGAAAACAGAGGAAGGGAACAUAAAAUGAAAAUAAUAGUGGUCGGAGUUUGAAACCCUUCGGCCAGAUUUGUACGAGUAACAUGUAAAAUCAAACAAAAAUCCGGUUCAUCGGAGAUGAACAAAACAAAAUAGAUAGAGGAAAAUCUAGUGAAACGGAAAAGGAAGAGGGGUUCUUUAUUUACCACCUGAGCUCACGUGGGGUCUGACGGAGUUGGACUCGAAGUUCGUCGGAGAUAGGUCGCGUCUGGUUCAGAGUUGCGCCGGAGCUUGAAGUUCAUUUGAAUGGCAGCAGGUUACCUGCAAAAUAAGAGAAAAAAUCGUGAAAGGGGAGAGGGGAAGGGACUGGUUCAUUUAGCUCCGAUUCAUCGGAGCUUUGAGCUCCUCACCGGAGUUGCUGCCAGGAAAAUGAGAAAAAACGAAGGGGGGUUUUGGAAGUGGUUGUUUGAUGGUCGUUUUUCGUCGAAAAUGGAGUGUUGUUGGGUUGUUUUCAGACGGUGGUUGUUGGUUGUGUUUGGAGCUUGGUGGGUGGAGCAAUGGUGGUUUGUGGUGAGGGAGAAGAGGUUGUUUGGUGGCUGCUUCAGUUGGCUUUGGGGAAGAGGAAAAAUAGAGUUGAGGGAUUUGGGUAUUGGCGGCUAAGGAGGAAAAUGGAAGAGGAAAAUAAAUUUAGGGUUUUGGCAUUUAGA
rnacentral:lncRNA from 1 species